AAAUAUUGGAGGUUGAGGUCUCACACGGAUUGUGCUUCUUGCGGGCGGUUGAGAUCAAAACGUGAUGAUCUAACGAUGAGUAUUGAGUUAACAAUUUCAACUUCACCUUUCCCUUCAUCUCUCACUACCACUACUACCAUACUGAAUCAUCCGUUUCUUUCUCCUUCAGAUUUUUUUUUCUUCUUUUUUUUUUUCAAACAAAAAAGUAGAAACUAUGAGAAAUAUUAAAAUUAUGAAAAUAUAAAUUCGAUAGUUUCGGUGGCGGUUCAGGCGGUGGUCGCGGCCGAGAACAGUGGAUCUUUUUUUUUCGAAAUGGAUGUCGGAGAUACUGUCGGAGUUCUUGCUGGAGAUGCUACCGGAGUGCUCGCCGGAGUUGAUUUUAUUGAAACAGAAACUUUUUUUAUAUCUUCUUUUUCUUCCUCCAUCUGUUUUUUCACAAUACUCAGAACAUAUUUUUCUUGUGUUUUUCUGAAUGAAUCACAAAUAUUCUGAAUUUGUUCUUUCAACUCCUCUCUAGAUCUGUUUGCAAUUUCAUGAGUCUCUGUUAUAUAUUGUUUUAUAAUUUCUAGCUGGUGAAGUGUUUCUGGCUGUGAAAAGAAAUCUGGAGAUGAGGAUAGUUGUUGAGGUGGAGCAGAAACUACGGGUUGUUGUUGAUGGUGAAAUUGAGGAUAUGAGGUUGGAUAAUAAUAUGCAGGAAAUGGGUUUAUGAAUGGUGGGGUAAAAAUUGUUGUUGUAGUGGAAUAAUGUGAGUGAGUGCAUGGAGGAGAAAAUGGAUGGUUGUAGUAAGAAUAUGCCAUAGGAGAGGUUGAGUUUAUGGGUGGUGGAUAUGGAUAUGCCAUGGGAGGGAGAUUGAGUGCAAGAAUGAAAACACCAAUGUUAGGAUGCUAAUUAGGAACCCUAACAAACUAAGGAAAACUAAGAGAAAUAAAAGAGACAACUAAAAUAAACUAAUAAAA